rnacentral:rRNA from 1 species
UCGAUGUUGGGCGCCGCGGGCGCGGUAAGACGAGGGGGCCAAGGGUUGGGCGGAGACGUUGGGCGUAAAGGGGGGGGAGGGGGCUCUGUAAGGCAGGAGUGAAAGGCCCGAGCUUAACUUGGGAAGUGCUGUUGAUACUGAAGAGCUUGAAUGUGGGAGAGGAUCGUGGAAUUCCGGGUGUAGUGGUGAAAUACGUAGAUAUCAGGAGGAACACCGGUGGCGAAGGCGGCGAUCUGGCCCAACAUUGACACUGAGACCCAAAAGCGUGGGGAUCAAACAGGAUUAGAUACCCGGGUAGUC